GGGGCUGAUUGGUUUCGACUGGGGACGUUUCGUCCCAGGAGAAGCGGGUCGAGAAGCCAGCGUCAUCUCGUGAACGUUCGCUGGAAACCAUAAGUGCCAACGCUAAGCGCACUGACUUCGCUCUCGCUGCCUGAUUGCAGUGAUCGAAGGGUCAGACCGGGCAUCGCCUUCGUCCCGGACCCUGGCCUCAUCAAGAAGGCUUGCUGAACAACUGGCGUCAGGCCAUUUGAUCGGGACUUUUUCCUGACUGAGCCCGUCGGAGCACGUGUCUGUGCAAGCUCCGGGGCCGAGAAAAGCGUCACACAGACUGCACCCGGAGAAGACCUGGUACUACGCCUUAGGACGCGGGUUCGAUUCCCGCCAGCUCCACCA
rnacentral:tmRNA from 1 species